AGAGUUUGAUCCUGGCUCAGAAUCAACGCUGGCGGCGCGCUUAACACAUGCAAGUCGAACGAGAAAGCCCGCAAGGGUGAGUAAAGUGGCGUACGGGUGAGUAACACGUGGGUAAUCUACCUUUUGGUGGGGAAUAACGCUGGGAAACCGGCGCUAAUACCGCAUAAGCCUGAGAAGGGAAAGGAGCUAUUCGCCGAAAGAGGAGCCCGCGGCUGAUUAGCUAGUUGGUGAGGUAAGAGCUCACCAAGGCGAUGAUCGGUAGCCGGCCUGAGAGGGCACACGGCCACACUGGCACUGAAACACGGGCCACACCCCUACGGGAGGCAGCAGUGGGGAAUCUUGCACAAUGGGGGAAACCCUGAUGCAGCGACGCCGCGUGAGCGAUGAAGCCCUUCGGGGUGUAAAGCUCUUUCGACGGGAACGAUAAUGACGGUACCCAGAGAAGACGCUGCGGCUAACCACGUGCCAGCAGCCGCGGUAAUACGUAGGCAGCAAGCGUUGUUCGGAGUUACUGGGCGUAAAGAGUGCGUAGGCGGUGAUCUAAGUCUGGUGUGACAUCUCCCGGCUCAACUGGGGAGGG
rnacentral:rRNA from 1 species